rnacentral:rRNA from 1 species
UACGUAGGGUGCAAGCGUUAAUCGGAAUUACUGGGCGUAAAGCGUGCGCAGGCGGUUCUAUAAGACAGAUGUGAAAUCCCCGGGCUCAACCUGGGAACUGCAUUUGUGACUGUAGAGCUGGAGUACGGCAGAGGGGGAUGGAAUUCCGCGUGUAGCAGUGAAAUGCGUAGAUAUGCGGAGGAACACCGAUGGCGAAGGCAAUCCCCUGGGCCUGUACUGACGCUCAUGCACGAAAGCGUGGUGAGCAAACAGG